UAGUUUAAUCUUGGCAGCACCUCAGAAUCCCAGGGUGAUCUGACAUCUUCCUUUUCUUCGAAUCUUAAUGCUGACGUUGCGUCUACAAAAUGCAGUCAAAGAUACAUU